rnacentral:rRNA from 1 species
UAUGGCGACCGGCGCACGGGUGAGUAACACGUAUCCAACCUGCCGAUGACUCGGGGAUAGCCUUUCGAAAGAAAGAUUAAUACCCGAUGGCAUAGUUCUUCCGCAUGGUGGAACUAUUAAAGAAUUUCGGUCAUCGAUGGGGAUGCGUUCCAUUAGGUUGUUGGUGAGGUAACGGCUCACCAAGCCUUCGAUGGAUAGGGGUUCUGAGAGGAAGGUCCCCCACAUUGGAACUGAGACACGGUCCAAACUCCUACGGGAGGCAGCAUG